GCUUCCAUAGCUCAGUUGGUUAGAGCGUCGUACUAAUACUUCAAACCGAGUAUCCGGUAAUGCGAAGGUCUCAGGUUCAAGCCCUGGUGGGAGCA
rfam:Fusarium oxysporum Fo5176 contig02662, whole genome shotgun sequence.